GGGUUGUGAGGUUAAGCGACUAAGCGUACACGGUGGAUGCCCUGGCAGUCAGAGGCGAUGAAGGACGUGCUAAUCUGCGAUAAGCGUCGGUAAGGUGAUAUGAACCGUUAUAACCGGCGAUUUCCGAAUGGGGAAACCCAGUGUGUUUCGACACACUAUCAUUAACUGAAUCCAUAGGUUAAUGAGGCGAACCGGGGGAACUGAAACAUCUAAGUACCCCGAGGAAAAGAAAUCAACCGAGAUUCCCCCAGUAGCGGCGAGCGAACGGGGAGGAGCCCAGAGCCUGAAUCAGUGUGUGUGUUAGUGGAAGCGUCUGGAAAGGCGCGCGAUACAGGGUGACAGCCCCGUACACAAAAAUGCACAUAUUGUGAGCUCGAUGAGUAGGGCGGGACACGUGGUAUCCUGUCUGAAUAUGGGGGGACCAUCCUCCAAGGCUAAAUACUCCUGACUGACCGAUAGUGAACCAGUACCGUGAGGGAAAGGCGAAAAGAACCCCGGCGAGGGGAGUGAAAAAGAACCUGAAACCGUGUACGUACAAGCAGUGGGAGCCUCUUUUAUGGGGUGACUGCGUACCUUUUGUAUAAUGGGUCAGCGACUUAUAUUCUGUAGCAAGGUUAACCGAAUAGGGGAGCCGAAGGGAAACCGAGUCUUAACUGGGCGUUAAGUUGCAGGGUAUAGACCCGAAACCCGGUGAUCUAGCCAUGGGCAGGUUGAAGGUUGGGUAACACUAACUGGAGGACCGAACCGACUAAUGUUGAAAAAUUAGCGGAUGACUUGUGGCUGGGGGUGAAAGGCCAAUCAAACCGGGAGAUAGCUGGUUCUCCCCGAAAGCUAUUUAGGUAGCGCCUCGUGAACUCAUCUCCGGGGGUAGAGCACUGUUUCGGCAAGGGGGUCAUCCCGACUUACCAACCCGAUGCAAACUGCGAAUACCGGAGAAUGUUAUCACGGGAGACACACGGCGGGUGCUAACGUCCGUCGUGAAGAGGGAAACAACCCAGACCGCCAGCUAAGGUCCCAAAGUCAUGGUUAAGUGGGAAACGAUGUGGGAAGGCCCAGACAGCCAGGAUGUUGGCUUAGAAGCAGCCAUCAUUUAAAGAAAGCGUAAUAGCUCACUGGUCGAGUCGGCCUGCGCGGAAGAUGUAACGGGGCUAAACCAUGCACCGAAGCUGCGGCAGCGACGCUGAUGCGUUGUUGGGUAGGGGAGCGUUCUGUAAGCCUGUGAAGGUGUGCUGUGAGGCAUGCUGGAGGUAUCAGAAGUGCGAAUGCUGACAUAAGUAACGAUAAAGCGGGUGAAAAGCCCGCUCGCCGGAAGACCAAGGGUUCCUGUCCAACGUUAAUCGGGGCAGGGUGAGUCGACCCCUAAGGCGAGGCCGAAAGGCGUAGUCGAUGGGAAACAGGUUAAUAUUCCUGUACUUGGUGUUACUGCGAAGGGGGGACGGAGAAGGCUAUGUUGGCCGGGCGACGGUUGUCCCGGUUUAAGCGUGUAGGCUGGUUUUCCAGGCAAAUCCGGAAAAUCAAGGCUGAGGCGUGAUGACGAGGCACUACGGUGCUGAAGCAACAAAUGCCCUGCUUCCAGGAAAAGCCUCUAAGCAUCAGGUAACAUCAAAUCGUACCCCAAACCGACACAGGUGGUCAGGUAGAGAAUACCAAGGCGCUUGAGAGAACUCGGGUGAAGGAACUAGGCAAAAUGGUGCCGUAACUUCGGGAGAAGGCACGCUGAUAUGUAGGUGAAGUCCCUCGCGGAUGGAGCUGAAAUCAGUCGAAGAUACCAGCUGGCUGCAACUGUUUAUUAAAAACACAGCACUGUGCAAACACGAAAGUGGACGUAUACGGUGUGACGCCUGCCCGGUGCCGGAAGGUUAAUUGAUGGGGUCAGCGCAAGCGAAGCUCUUGAUCGAAGCCCCGGUAAACGGCGGCCGUAACUAUAACGGUCCUAAGGUAGCGAAAUUCCUUGUCGGGUAAGUUCCGACCUGCACGAAUGGCGUAAUGAUGGCCAGGCUGUCUCCACCCGAGACUCAGUGAAAUUGAACUCGCUGUGAAGAUGCAGUGUACCCGCGGCAAGACGGAAAGACCCCGUGAACCUUUACUAUAGCUUGACACUGAACAUUGAGCCUUGAUGUGUAGGAUAGGUGGGAGGCUUAGAAGUGUGGACGCCAGUCUGCAUGGAGCCGACCUUGAAAUACCACCCUUUAAUGUUUGAUGUUCUAACGUUGACCCGUGAUCCGGGUUGCGGACAGUGUCUGGUGGGUAGUUUGACUGGGGCGGUCUCCUCCUAAAGAGUAACGGAGGAGCACGAAGGUUGGCUAAUCCUGGUCGGACAUCAGGAGGUUAGUGCAAUGGCAUAAGCCAGCUUGACUGCGAGCGUGACGGCGCGAGCAGGUGCGAAAGCAGGUCAUAGUGAUCCGGUGGUUCUGAAUGGAAGGGCCAUCGCUCAACGGAUAAAAGGUACUCCGGGGAUAACAGGCUGAUACCGCCCAAGAGUUCAUAUCGACGGCGGUGUUUGGCACCUCGAUGUCGGCUCAUCACAUCCUGGGGCUGAAGUAGGUCCCAAGGGUAUGGCUGUUCGCCAUUUAAAGUGGUACGCGAGCUGGGUUUAGAACGUCGUGAGACAGUUCGGUCCCUAUCUGCCGUGGGCGCUGGAGAACUGAGGGGGGCUGCUCCUAGUACGAGAGGACCGGAGUGGACGCAUCACUGGUGUUCGGGUUGUCAUGCCAAUGGCACUGCCCGGUAGCUAAAUGCGGAAGAGAUAAGUGCUGAAAGCAUCUAAGCACGAAACUUGCCCCGAGAUGAGUUCUCCCUGACCCUUUAAGGGUCCUGAAGGAACGUUGAAGACGACGACGUUGAUAGGCCGGGUGUGUAAGCGCAGCGAUGCGUUGAGCUAACCGGUACUAAUGAACCGUGAGGCUUAACCUUACAACGCCGAAGCUGUU
rnacentral:rRNA from 1 species